rnacentral:rRNA from 1 species
AAGUCGUAACAAGGUCUCCGUAGGUGAACCUGCGGAGGGAUCAUUACACAAAUAUGAAGGCGGGCUGGAACCUCUCGGGGUUACAGCCUUGCUGAAUUAUUCACCCUUGUCUUUUGCGUACUUCUUGUUACCUUGGUGGGUUCGCCCACCACUAGGACAAACAUAAACCUUUUGUAAUUGCAAUCAGCGUCAGUAACAAAUUAAUAAUUACAACUUUCAACAACGGAUCUCUUGGUUCUGGCAUCGAUGAAGAACGCAGCGAAAUGCGAUAAGUAGUGUGAAUUGCAGAAUUCAGUGAAUCAUCGAAUCUUUGAACGCACAUUGCGCCCUUUGGUAUUCCAAAGGGCAUGCCUGUUCGAGCGUCAUUUGUACCCUCAAGCUUUGCUUGGUGUUGGGCGUCUUGUCUCUAGCUUUGCUGGAGACUCGCCUUAAAGUAAUUGGCAGCCGGCCUACUGGUUUCGGAGCGCAGCACAAGUCGCACUCUCUAUCAGCAAAGGUCUAGCAUCCAUUAAGCCUUUUUUUCAACUUUUGACCUCGGAUCAGGUAGGGAUACCCGCUGAACUUAAGCA